AAUAAACAAAGAGAAAAGAAAAAUUAAAAGAUCAUAUUAUCGAAUAAUUUAAAAAUUUCUUAUAUGAAAUGCCAAAUUAUGAAAGGAAAGAUAAAGAGAGAAAGGAAACAAAGAGAAAAUAAAAAUUUUGAAAAUAUAGUAGAGAUAAAAUGACUAAAUUACUCAUGUAUUAAAAGACAAAAAUACUCUUUUUUGAGCUACCUGGUAACUGAUACCUCUCCCAAAGUGACCUACUAUUGCAGGUCACAAGUUUAAAAAAACUAAAUCUGAGCCGUUGAAUACGCGUGAAUGAACGGUAACGAAGAAAAAAAAGUAUUGAAGCAUUACUCACAGUGUAUACCCAUCUUAAAAGCACAUAAU
rnacentral:lncRNA from 1 species